CAGUCCAGUGAAGCCCAGUGUUACAAUUAUCCUACAUCUCAUCAAUUGUUAAUGUGAUUUCUUGGCUAUGAAAACAGUGAAAUGUCAAAUUUAAGCCUCUAUGUUAGACUGAAAUUGUCCUAGAUUUAAGGGAAGUAGAGACUACUUAAAGUAGGGUAAAUUUUUUUACUUACAUAGUGUUUGUCACAGGAGCAGUCUUGGUACAGGCCCAAAAAUAUGUCAGGAUUAGUGUCAGACAGAUCCAUGGAAAACUGAAACCUGCAUAAUAUCAUAAAGGGGUAAACUGGCAGAAGAGGUUCCAUAACCUCCAUUUAGAAAACUUUCCCAUUUCUUCACUCAGAAAAGUAACUUGGAAAAUUAAAAACUUAUAACAAAUACUUGCCAAACUGCACUAGGACCUAAAUGGCCUGUUGUAUUCUGUACUGGUGACUCACAGACAGUAACAACAGCAUGGUGCAAAAUUACUCUAAUUAAAUGCCUCUAAGAAGACUUUGACAUUUUGGUAUGCUUUUCAUCUUGCAGAAGCAACAGACAAUGGUGCCUAAAAAUUAUUUUUUCACACAUUUUUAUUGCUACUGUGUCUGGAAAUGUGUUAAUACUUUUUAAUAACUGUCAUUUAAUUUUAACUGGUUUGCCCAUAUUGAAUGCACAAAAUAUCAUAACUUUAAGAAGUGCCUGCAUAAAGGAUUGAAACUGUAAGGGCUAUGGCCUUUUGUUGUGCAAAUGACCUGUGAAGAAUAUAAUUCCUAGGAGAAGGUGUACAGACUAAAUCCAGGUCCAUUUUUCCAUAAUGGAUACAAAGCAAAUACCUUCAAAGAAAAAAAUAAACAGAAAAUCCUUCACUUGCUCUGCACUCCCAAUACAGGUCUGAGUACAAUUAAAGCACUCUGAAGAAACAAAUAUGAGGAAAAGAGGGGAAAACACCUUUGAGUUUCCUUAGACCAUAAAUACAGUGUGUUUAUACAUUACUGAUCCAUCAAGUUAUAAAUGGGAGUAGUUCCACAAUAGUUACUGCUUCUCCUGAAGGUAGUGCAGGUGUUGUGAUGGCACUCCGUAGCACAGCAGGGACAAGAGUCAGUUCAUCCUAAGAGUUCACAGUAAUCCAUGAGCAAUUGUGACAAAACAGGAAAAUAACCCAGGAAAUGAACUCUGUGAGGAGCUGCUGGCAUUUUGCACGGUGCCUCGUAUCUGUUUACUGCUACCACAGUACUACUUUAGGUUUUUAGACAUUUCUUACAUCUGUCAUUCUGAAAGAUUCUCAGCCACAGUUCAGCCAUCAGCUGCUUCCCUACUACCAUCACUGUUUCCUCUACUGCUGCCUCAAGUCCUUCCAUUGACCCACACAGGCACUUUUUAUGGAGGAAUUACCAACUGGCCCUCUCAGUUCGUAGGUACAUGUGACAUUGCAGCUAAGUUUUUUUGUGGGAAAGGAAAGGGUACAGCAGCUUUGGUUGAUAACCUCUGCGUGACAUCCUCAGUUUGCUCAGCUUUGCCCUUCCCUUGGUGCAGUGUAUGAGAAAUGCCCUGGAUCUACACAGGCAAGGGUUCUGCCAGGUGGGGCACCAAGAACACACAAGGAGACAAAAGAUGAUGGGAUUUUGCUCACAUAAUUAUAGCUCAUCAAAACGGCCCUCAUGAACAAUUCAUUCAUCAGAUUUGACCCUUUAUCUCUUGGAGAAUUAUCUGUGAAUUGAUCAUGGCUUUUAUUAUUUGGUUGAUGAAGAGCUUUUUCCAAACACAUCUGAGCCUGACUGUACUUCUCCAAGACAAUUUCUCAGUUAUUGCAGAAUGGAGAUAUUGAGUCCUGUGGUCUACCUGGAAUUUUGACACUUCCUGAGAAAAGUGCUGUGCCCUCCCUCCUUUCUCCCCAAAGCUAUAAACUCAUUACUCUCUCAAAGAGAGGAAUACUUUCUGAUUUGUUCAAUAAAAUAAGUAACACUAAAAUAAUAUA